CGAGGGUGCAAGCGUUAGUCGGAGUUACUGGGCGUAAAGCGUGCGUAGGUGGAUGCUCAAGUCGAUUGUGAAAGCCCCGGGCUUAACCUGGGAACUGCAGUCGAUACUGGGUUUCUCGAGUAUGGUAGAGGAAAGUGGAAUUCCCAGUGUAGCGGUGGAAUGCGUAGAUAUUGGGAAGAACACCAAUGGCGAAGGCAGCUUUCUGGACCUAUACUGACACUGAAGCACGAAAGCGUGGGGAGCAAACAGGAUUAGAGACCCGAGUAGUCC
rnacentral:rRNA from 1 species